rnacentral:lncRNA from 9 species
CGUGUCCCUGCCAGGGCCCCCAACAGGGAGUCCUGUUUGGGCCGCCUGUGUGGGGCCAGGUGGGUGUUAGGGCGAGGAGGAGCCAGAGCCAAGAGGCUUUCGGAUGCCAAGCUCUGACUUCAGCUCCAAAUCAACCCAGAAAUGUAGGCCUGAUCCCCCAACCCUCCUGCUAUGUGUCUUCCCGUCUGUCUGUGUGCACAUCAGUCGCUCAGUCACACAGUGGCCCACCCGGGCCCAUCGGGUGGUUGGAAGUGGGUUUAAACUCCAGAAAGGUGGGGCUUGAAUCCCCUCGCUUUCUUGUUGUGGGACCUUGGACAAGUCGCUCAAUUGCUUUGUGUCUCAGUUGCCCCCCUGGUGACAGAGAUGAUAACAGCGCUGGUCUGUCCCCCAGGGGUGAGGAGUAAGUGAGUUAAUAGCUGUGAAAGGUUCAGCAAGGCGCCCAGCCCACGGCGAAUCGUAGGCACUCCAUUCAUCCAGCCCCUCUGUGUCCCUUGACCUUGGGGAAUAUGAAUAAUGACACCUGAGCUUCACCUAUUUAAUCCCUGGGAACGGUCACACGAUGAAUAAGACCUUGUCUCUCGUCUCACGGGAUUUUCGGCCUGAAGGGAGCUCGGACAGAUGAAUAACCUCCAAUCAAAGACAUGAGUGAGUCCAUUGUGCCUGCUGGUGGGCGCCUCCCAGGCUCCCAUCCCGGAAACUAAGCCCCUGGGUGAUGGGCUCAGCGAAGGCCGAAGGGGGCCUUCCUCCCCUGGCUUCAGUCCGAUUGCUGUCCCUGAAGAAGGCCCUGGAAGGAGGCAGCCUAGGGCGUGAAUGGCAGCACCUCCAAGCCCAGCUUUGGAAUAAAGAAGGCCCAUUUUUCAAAAGCUUCUCAGCAAAUUUUGACAAACAGCAGAUUUGGGGAAAGACUCGCUUCAAGAACUUCUUUGGAGCCAACAGCUCUGGAUUCAAAUUUUGCUUCUGACAUUGACACGUUUAAGUGACCUUGGGCAGGAUACGUGACCUCUUCUAGCAGCAAGGCUUCACUUUCCUGUGCCUAGAAGGGGGUACUCCUGUAGUGUUUUAAUGAAGAUUGGAAAUAAUUUAUGGCUGGUACCUGCUGCAUCCUAGCAGAUAACAAUAAUAAAGUUACACGUAUGAGCAGUAACAUGAGACCAAUCGCGAAGAGGGUUUUGGCAAAGUGUUCAAAAGACGGGCAGCCUGCAGGAUGAGUCCUUUCAGCAGCCGGAAAAAGAAUCUGGGGACAAACAAGGUGGACAAGGAACUGCAUCCUCGCCGUGUGUGAGCAACUCGGGGACAGGCAGGGUGAUGCGCCAGAUGACUUUUCAGCUCUGGCCCAACAACUCUGAAUGCUGAGAGCGAACUUUCUGGAAAGAAUGACAAGUCUGGCAGGCACUCCACUUUGAAGGAUAAUCCACUGUUGGUGUGGACCGCAGAUGUCACUACAUCAGGG